rnacentral:rRNA from 1 species
GACGGAGGAUGCAAGCGUUAUCCGGAAUGAUUGGGCGUAAAGCGUCCGCAGGUGGCAGUUCAAGUCUGCUGUCAAAGACCGGGGCUUAACUUCGGAAAGGCAGUGGAAACUGAACAGCUAGAGUAUGGUAGGGGCAGAGGGAAUUCCUGGUGUAGCGGUGAAAUGCGUAGAUAUCAGGAAGAACAUCGGUGGCGAAGGCGCUCUGCUGGACGGUAUCUGACACUGAGGGACGAAAGCUAGGGGAGCGAAUGGG